UACGUAGGGGGCAAGCGUUGUCCGGAAUCAUUGGGCGUAAAGAGCGUGUAGGCGGCCCGAUAAGUCCGCCGUGAAAGUCCAGGGCUCAACCCUGGGAUGCGGGUGGAUACUGUCGGGCUCGAGUCCGGAAGAGGCGAGUGGAAUUCCCGGUGUAGCGGUGAAAUGCGCAGAUAUCGGGAGGAACACCAAUGGCGAAGGCAGCUCGCUGGGACGUGACUGACGCUGAGACGCGAAAGCGUGGGGAGCAAACAGG
rnacentral:rRNA from 1 species